UACGAGUGCUUCGAGCGUUAUCCGGAAUCAUUGGGCGUAAAGGGUGUGUAGGCGGUUUCGUUAGUCUCAUGUUAAAUCUUUCGGCUCAACCGAGAGUCUGCAUGGGAAACGGCGAGACUAAGAGGAUGGAAGGGGUCUCUGGAACUCAUGGUGUAGCGGUGAAAUGCGCAGAUAUCAGGAGGAACACCGGUGGCGAAGGCGGUUCUCUGGGCCAAAACUGACGCUGAGGAGCGAAAGCGUGGGGAGCGAACAGG
rnacentral:rRNA from 1 species